UUUUAAAUAUUUAUUUCUUAGUUUUCGGCGGACACAACAUCUUUGUUUGUAUGUGGUGCUGAGGAUCGAACCCGGGCCGCACACAUGCCAGGCGAGCGCGCUACUGCUUGAGCCACAUCCCCAGCCCCCUCAGAUAAUAUCUUGAAGGUGUCUUCAUUUCUUCCUGGGGCAAGGGAAUGGACAAGUAGCUUUAUUUUUCCUUCUCCAGAGAUCUAAUCUGACAUUUAAAAAUCCGUAUUGAAUACAUUAUGUCAGCAAAACUUUAUGUGAGGCCUGUUAAAUUUUAAAAGAUUCAGAUUUGCAUUAAAUUGAUACCAGCCUCUAACACACACACACACACACACACACACACACACAAAGUGUCAAAGGCCUCUCUUAGCAAAAGGAGAAAUGAUGGUUUUGGUGAUUGUGCUCAUGGCUCUACUGGCCUAUGCUGGGUGGCUUCUGCAUUGUUUGACUCCUUGGUAGCUGUGGAAGUCCUGCACAGGAAGUUUCGCUGACCUCUUUGAGCUCUUAAAAGGCAACUCCCCCGGGUACUGCUUCAGGGACUAUUCUGUGCAGUAAACACAGAUGGAGGGGUACCAAUGACUUCUCAGGGAAGCCUCAGUAUCCUCACCUAUCUGCCCCAAGUGUCACAGCCAGCUACAGUCUCCGUGGUUCACAUUUAACAUUUCAGUUAUUCUAACUUGCCAAGUUAUGAAGUUGCAGGAGGGUAAAUCGAGGACCAUGACCCCAGAGACCCUGGGUCUAGGGGUUACAUUCAGAGCGGGUCUCUCCUAGAGCAGUUAAAGAUGAGCUGGUUACUUCCCUCUUAUGAGAGCAAGCAUGGCACAGACAAUAUUGUAUAGUGUCUGAACCUUCCCAGCAGCUGCAAGGUAGGUUUUUGCCAUCCUUCGGGUGGCCAGGGACCAGAACUAGGCCCUGGGACCUCUGUCUGCACCUGAGCUUUAGAAGAUUGCACUGCUGCCUGGCUUUGUGGCCAUCCUGUUAGGGUCUGCCUCAUCCCUCAGGAGCCUGCCCGAGAGCUGCUGGGGGUUGAUGUGUGUCACCAGCAGUGUCAGGGAAGCAGGAUACUAGGCCAGAGAGAGACUGAGACCAGUCAUCUCGGGCUUUUAUUCUGUUGACAAGGAAGCCAGAUCUCUCCUGUCCACAGCAGGGUUUGGUCCCCUAACUCCAGCUGCUUGCCAGAGCACGAAGGGGAAAAAACAAAAAACACAGGCCAGUCAGAUGUGCUGUUUUCCUCUUUGCUUACCAACUCCUGGUCUAAAAUGUUUUUAAUAAGUAAAUGUAUUUGCAGUUGUUCAUGGAUGGUGUUUUUGUCAUUGGAGGUUGACUGUGGGUUGUUAUGAUCUGGCCCUUGGUAUCAUUGGUCUAAGAUUAGACAGUUACCCCAGUGCAACACACAAAGACAAAUGAGGCGAAGACAGAGGGUUAAGGUGGUCCUGAGGCCAGAAGCUUCUGCUCCUGCAGGAGGGCAUUUAAGAAAAGACCAUCCAAGGCAGGCUUAUUGUAAGGCUGGGGAGGCAAGGGAGAGGGAGAUACUCCCUAGAGAAGGGGUGGCAGAAGGGUCAAUUUAACCGGGGCCAGGACCCCUGACAUGAUUCAGCUUUCUGCUUUUGUUAGGAUAGGAGGUGGGGCUUUCAGUGAAGAAACCCUGAAGUGAUAGGUGCUUCCCCUCCUUGGCCUGGUGUUGGCAUAGGGUCCCCCAUGUGGGGGGAGUCACACACCUGUGCUGUUAACGUGUUGAGGGCAUGCAACUGUGUACUUUGGGUCAUUUUACCUUUUCUGGCCUAAGACCAUAAGUGGAAGGUCAUGUGAUGGUCAGCUGACUCUGGGGGCAACUUAUGGGUACAUGCAUAACUCUGGAACAUGAUACGUGCCCAUGAGUAUAAACGGAAGGAGGGGGAAUGUGGAAGGAGACUGGCACCUCAGCGUCAGUUCCCAGCAAGGGGCUUUUUUUAUAGUCCUUCCUAUCCUUCCCUGAUCCAUUUCCUGCUCAUCCCUAGCUGCCUUCCCAUGCUAACAUUGUUUCCCUUGUUUGUUUAAAUAGGCUUCCAAUACUAGCCUUGCAGGAGAACUUUGCUUCGCUGUUGGGAGUACUGAAGGAAUCUGUGCAAUUGAAUCUGGCUCCACCUGGAUAUUUUCUGCUUCUCAGGUAUCACAUCACCACAUUCAUAUGGAGGUAGUGUUUUCUGUCGGAACAUAUUUUAUUUCUGCAGCAUUUUUGAUCAGAAACUAAUUGUCCCCCAACAGCAUGCU
rnacentral:lncRNA from 1 species